GAUGAACGCUAGCGGGAGGCCUAACACAUGCAAGCCGAGCGGUAUUGUUUCUUCGGAAAUGAGAGAGCGGCGUACGGGUGCGUAACACGUGUGCAACCUGCCUUUAUCUGGGGGAUAGCCUUUCGAAAGGAAGAUUAAUACUCCAUAAUAUAUUGAACGGCAGCGUUUAAUAUUGAAAGCUCCGGCGGAUAGAGAUGGGCACGCGCAAGAUUAGCUAGUUGGUGAGGUAACGGCUCACCAAGGCGAUGAUCUUUAGGGGGCCUGAGAGGGUGAUCCCCCACACUGGUACUGAGACACGGACCUGACUCCUACGGGAGGCAGCAGUGAGGAAUAUUGGUCAAUGGGUGCAAGCCUGAACCAGCCAUCCCGCGUGAAGGACGACUGCCCUAUGGGUUGUAAACUUCUUUUGUAUAGGGAUAAACCUACCCUCGAGAGGGUAGCUGAAGGUACUAUACGAAUAAGCACCGGCUAACUCCGUG
rnacentral:rRNA from 1 species